UUAACUCAAAUUUGUAUGGAGUUGAAACGUUUACCUACGUUCGCCGCUAGGGGCGCUGUUUCAACUCCAUACAAAUAUGAGUUA
rfam:Bombyx mori DNA, contig: Bm_scaf51_contig26565, strain: p50T/Dazao, build 2, whole genome shotgun sequence.